GGGUCUGGUUGAUUCUGUUUCAGUGUAUUUGACUAAGUGUGCAUGCACACGAAAGCUCAUACCAAAAUAAAAACUUAGUUGGUCUUUAAGGUGCUACUGAAGGAAUUUUUUUAUUCUGUUGGUAGAGUUAACAAAAGUUGUUAUCCACCUCAAUCCUAAUCUGGUAGUGUAUCUGUUGACCCCACCCCCACCCCAGGUCACAGGCAUUUAUUUAUCUCUUGUGGGGCUGCGAAGACUCUUUCAUAGAUCACUGCUAGUAUAGUAUUAGCCUCUUGGUUAUAAAACGAGUGUUUUAUGAAGAUAUAGUAACUUUUUCCAUAUUCUGGAACUUGCGCAGUCUUUGUUCCCUGCCCUCAAUCCCCACCAGCUUUUCUCUGGCCUAUUGCCUGUUGCCAGUAGCUUGGUCUGUGCCUAGUAAAUUUACCUGCAGUUGAGACAAAGUAAAUGCCUCCCCCCCCCCAAUUUUUUAGUGUCACUUUGUGACGCGGCAUUGCAAGCCUAAGAGCUGUUUUAUACAUUACAUGGCAACCGACCUGCAUUUUUCACUGAAUGUUCACUGAGCAGAAAGCUGCAGUCACCCCUGGCUCUCUGAUGAGCGUGCCUUUAUUUCCAAACCCCAGCUUCGCCACCUUCAGACUUCACAAUUUUGAAAAUAGGUGAACACAUCGAAAGGUCUUAGAAUUUGUCAUUAAUUGGACACGGACAAAAGAAUAAGGGUGGGAAACAGGGGCUAGGACACAGUCCCAGGAGAACCUUGGAAAUCCAGACCCGAGUCUUUUGCAGGGAUUUUUUGUAGCUGAACCAUGCAAAUUGUUGCUGCUUUCUAAAGUGAGUGUAGUGUCUGUGUUCAAAGCUUGCAUUUUAUGAGUUAAUGCAAACUGCCUACCCUCAAAAUCCAAGCCCCUCUCCGAUUCCCACUCCCUUCACAAGUCAGAUAAACAUCGCUGCCUUGCAUUUUGGUUAGUUGCCCUGAUUAUACAGUCUCCCCAUUGUGUUUUUGUAGAAACAUGGUAUCCAGCAGCGCUCUGAAUAACCUAAGUUUUAUUUCAUCAGGACCCGUCCAAUUUUCAGGAAGAAAUCCAGCCAAUAACUCUAGGCUACUUCUUAUAUUAAGUGCUCAAACUUAAUUUUGAACGUCAGUAAAGGAAGAAAAAUGUAAAUUGGGAACAGAGACCUCUUGGAGAAAACUUUAGAUUUGUCUUGAUUUUUGUCCUUUUUUGAGUCUCCAGCCCCCCUCCCCUCUCAUAAUUGCUGAAGAAAAGUUUCACUCUUGGCAGGAAACAAAGUGAUUUCUUUUCAUGCCUGUUAAAUUUAUUUCAUGAAAGAUUUACACAAUCUUAGGUAUCCUGUCAAGUGACUGUGGAAGGAGUAAUGGAAGAUGUGUCACAAGCUACAUGGCUCUCAGGUUGUGUUGCUUUUUAAUGGGUAUUUUUGGAACUGUCAGUAUUUGUACAUGAAGAACUGGAGAGCUGAUAAUUCCGGAAAGAAGAAAAAAUCGAAAAACUUGGGCAGUGGUUGUUUUUAACUUUUGGUGGGGGGGGGGAUGACGUAGCUGUCCCCCACGCCUAUCAGGGCAGUUUCAAAAUUGGUUGUCAAAUUGUACUUGCCUAGUUUAAUGGUAUUUCGUGCAAGCAGUGGAAGGUCCAGAAAAGUAGUAUGUUGUGUUGCUUGGAACACAUUCCUUCCAUUACACAUCCAUUCAUGUAGAGUGCAGUUUAAUUGUUCUGAAAAGUAGCUUACAAAACCAGGUUGUGAUGGUGGUUCCUCAUACCUACCUGAAUCUAAGAUACAAACUUCUGUCCUGGCCCUGUAAAAUGUUGGUGCAUUAAGGCCAAAUUACGAAGAAUGAGAGAUGGGGGUGAUCCAUAGGAGCAGUACCAGAUGAAAGUUUCUGUAGGGUCGGGAGGGAAAAUAAUCAGAUCAGACUAGGUAUGAUGGGUUGCAGCAGGGGAGGGGAAAUCUCUAACCUGUGGUCCAGAUUAGGCCCACCAAUUGGGUCUCCGAGGCCAUUUUCCCCAAACAGUACCCACUUGCCCCACAUAUGUGAUGUCAGGCAUGAGGCAGGUAGAGAUAUGGCUAGAUUGAUUGGCUGUGUGCCCAAGGCCCCUUUGGGGAACUGCUUCAUACAGCUUGCAUAGCUGACGUCACCAUCCUUCAUCUCAUGGGCAGCAAGUGCAGCCUUACAACAGAUGAAUUCAUCUAGACUCCUAUCCUCUUAUCUUCCUGGCUGCUGCUCUCACAAGGCCUCAGAAAUUAUUCCCAGCCCUUCUACCAUAGAGUCCUUGACUGGAGAUACCUGGGAUUGAACCAGGGACCUUUUUCAUUGUAAAACCUGUCCUCUACUGCUAAACUUUCCAUAUGAACCUACCCAGACCCUGAGAUCAUCUUCUGAGGCCCUUCUUUGUCUGCCUCUUCUUCAAGAGGUCUGGAGGGUGGCGACACGAGAACAGGCCUUCUCUGCAGUGGCUCCUCAUCUGUGGAAUGCUCUACCCAGGGAAGUUCGCCUGGUGCCUUCAUUAAACACCUUUAGGCGCCAGGCAAAAACGUUCCUCUUUAACCAGGCCUUUGAUUGGUUGACAUCCGAUGCCCUUUUAAAAUGACGUGAGUUUUUUUGGGUUGUUGUUUUUGUUUUGAUUGUGCAUUUUGUGGUUUUAUAUUUUGAUUUUUAUUCUGUGAACUGGCCUGAGACCUCCGGGUAUAGGGCAGUAUAUAAAUUGAAUGAAUGAGUGAAUGAAUGAAUGAUGCUGUUACUCGGCUGCCUGGUGGAUCACGUGCCCUUGUAGCUCAUUUAUUUGGACCACCUGUUAAAUAAUAAUAAACACAUUUUCUUUCCCACUGCAACUGAAGCUGGAUUGGAAAAAACUAAUAUUAGGAAGGUGUCAAAGGCAAAUUAACGUAAGCCUGGAAAGUUGGGACCCUCAGCGACCUGGAAACAGAGAGAUCUUUUCAGACCGUGAGCAAUACGCGGCGCAGGUUACACAAUAAUAAUUAGUGCACAUUCCCUUCCAAAUAAAUAUUUUAAGUCAUUGUUUGAUGCACAUGUGAAGGUUUGUUUAGGAGUUGUGACUUUCUGUAACGCUUUCCUUCUGAACUGUGCUGAAAAGCAACUGCCAAAUAUGGUUUCGUUCUCAGCUCCCUGUUACUUGGUUACAGAGAAAUAGACUAGGCCCUGUGGGUACUAACAAUAUAGACCUGCACCAAGCUCCACUUGUUGGCUGGCUAUGCAUGUCAAUAGAACUUGUUGAGUCAAUCGGAAGCGCUGCAUUGUCCAGACUAAUUUCAUCAAGGAUUAAUGGGAUUGGGGUUUCCUGCUUAGUAAGACACAGAAAAAUGUUUGCCCCCCCCCUCAAUGUGUGAAAUUGGCUUAGGAGAAUUUAAUCAGAUGUCUCAUAUGAGAGUGUUUUUACUCUGGUUCUUCCUGUGUUAGACAUUUGCCAUUCACGCAGUCCUUGUCACCAAAGGAUGCAAACAAACAUGCCAUUUCUGGACCCUAAGCUCACACUUAGAAGUUGCUGUGAUUUGGUCUGAGGAGUUACUUUUUAAUAGUGGUUUUUCAAACUUCCUAGCUUUCAUUGAGCUCCCCAUAAUAAACUUUAACGGAAUCUCAGGUUUCCUCAGAUUGCAAUUUUAAAAUGACUGGCCCAAGGCCUGCUUCUUUUCUCACAUUACAGUGCUAAACAUGGACCUGCACUCACAUGCACUUUUUGCAAUUAACAACAAAUGGUUUUAUUUCCAGUCCAGAUUGGCAGGAAAAGCUAGGGUUGACAUAUUUCAAAAAGUUAAAAUCCGGACACAGAAGUUGUUUCGCUUUUUUUUAGUUUUGCCCAAAAUCACAGAAAAUGGAGUUUUUGUUCUCCAGGUCCUUCUACUAUUCACUCAGUUGAGUUACACAGUUGGUCAGGUUUUUUACUCCGAUGGAUGAAAACGCACACAGGGCAAGCCCCCAAGCCAUUUUGUUGCCUGAGGCAGAACCCACUUCCCUCCUCACAGUCAGUCACCACUUACCCUGGAUGCUGCACCACCCCAGAGAAGCCACCCCAGAUUGGGAGAACUGGCCAGGCAAGACUUGUGGGAGGCCUGUAUUAGGUGCCUCUGCAUGUGCGUGGGUGCUACCCAGUCUAGUGCUCCAGCUCUUGACUGCUGUAGGUAUAGACCAAGGGGCCAUUGUGUGUCCAGCCAGGUAGUUGCCAUUGCUAGCUUUCUCUUUUAUUUGAAGUGCAGCUGCUGAUGCAGGUCGAAAAGAGCAAGAAGGUGACCUGGCAGAAGUGGGGACUGAAGCAGCUUGGUAGAAGCUCAAGUGACGGGGGGGGGCAGUGUUAUUCAGCCCAGCUGGGAGUUUGCUUGACCAUGGAGCUUUGGUUAGAGGCUCAGUGGCAUGGCAGUAGCUGGUGGGGUCUGCAUGCAUUCAUUUGCUGGUGCAGUGGGGGCUUGGGGGGCACACACUCAUUCUGCUGCACCACCUGCUAUCUGAAACCAGAGGCCCACCAUUCCUAAAGGUAGGGUUGGCUCUGAGUACACGAUUUUGGCAACCGAUUUAUAACACACUAGCUGGCCCUGCACGCGUUGCUGUGCGUUAGUCUGUGAAAUGGAGGGUAAUGGCCCCCCUUCAGAUACCCCUGAGCCUCAGAGUCCCCCUGAGUUGAGGCGAGAUACUGUGGAGAGGGCAGGUUUCAUCCCUGUGUCUCCCCCCCCCCGUUCUGACCCAUUACGUAUCCCUGCCCUCUAUUGCCCCCCCCACCUCCACUUGGCCUAGUCUGGAAAGCGGCCUAGUCUGCAAAGCCGAGGUGAGAUGUUGUGGAGAGGGCAGGUUUCAUCCCUGUGCCCCCCUGUUCUGACCCAUUACUAUUCGCCCCCCCUCCACUUGGCCUAGUCUGGAAAGCGGCCUAGUCUGUCUGAUAAUGGCCGCCUUGGUGCUUUCAGUUGCUUGGUUGAUGAUGUCAUUUGCUUUGUGGGUGUGGCUUAGAUUUCACAGGAUGGGAGGGGGUGGAGGAGGGUACUACGCCACUUGAGGGCACUGUUUGACUUGGUGGAAAACCAGGUCUACACCUGCCCAGGUGUGUGAUUUGAGGGAUUUUUGCCCCCAACAACGCUCGGGGAGUGGCCUGGAUCGUUGUGUCAAAAUUUCAGGACGAUCGGUCAAGCGGUUACGGAGAAAAGUUUCACGAUUUUUACAUUUUUAUAUAUAUAGAUGUAAUGCCGAUCAGAAGGUCGGUGGUUUGAAUCCCCACGACAGGGUGAGCUCCUAUUGCUCGCUCCCUGCUCUUGCCAACCUAGCAGUUCGAAAGCACGUCAAAGUGCAAGUAGAUAAAUAGGUACCACUCCGGCGGGAAAGUAAACAGCAUUUCUGUGUGCUGCUCUGGUUAGCCAGAAGCAGCUUAGUCAUGCUGGCCACAUGACCCGGAAGCUGUAUGUCGGCUCCCUUGGCCAGCAAAGCGAGAUGAGCGCCGCAACCCCAGAGUCGUUUGCGACUGGAUCUAACGGUCAGGGGUCCCUUUACCGUUACCUAAUGCCAAGUAAACAUUUGUGGACAAUCACUGAUUUCCCAAGCUUAAUUUUUCUUAAUCAGAGUUCAUAACAAUAUGUUAUGGUAACAUUGCAGGGGGAGUGACUAGUUGACCCUUGGGGUACUUUCCAGCUCUAUGAUUCUACGAUUGUACUUGGCUUUGGGUUUAAGCACAUGGUGUAAUUACACCCAGUUUUAAUACAACCACAAGUGCACAGCUCUGCUCCUUGCAUAGUGUGCUGGGGAUUUGUCCCAUGUUUCAUCACAAGCAAACACGCUAAUUUAAUUCAUUUGUAGGGGGUCACUAUGGAACACCAGCUUCUGCUGUCUUCUCACCCUAGAUAAAGCCAGGAGAGCUUUUUGUUGCUUUGAAGAAUAAGGCCUCAGUAAGUGGAAUCUGAGGCUUAUUUUUGCUUUAUCCGUCUAAAGCCACUAAAUUCUUCCAGUGCAGUCUUCCAAGAAUUUUUAACCAUGCUGUAUAUGUAUUAGAAAGUGGGGGGGCUGGGCAAGCUAAUUCCCAUGACUGUGCGUCUGCCCUUUCCCCAAACUGUGCUGAUCAAGCUGCUGGGAGUCCAACCCAGGUAGCUCACUAGGGAAAUUAUUUUGCUGAUAGAAAACAACAAACUGGCUCCAAGUCCACAUGUUGGCUGCGGUAGCCCUCGAGACUCAAAUAGCAUGUGGGAGAUAGUUGCUGGGAUGAAGAAGGCGGCUUGUAGAUAAUACCGGCUGAUUUCCUGGAUCUUGUGAAUUUACCAGCUGUCUAUCAAGCUGAAAAAUAAGCAGGGAAAGUUACUUUUAUGCAUUUAGUUGAAGCAAUGGUAGACUACAAGGAAUAGUUCUGCACCAUGAAAUAAUGUCCUUUUCUAAAGAGGCGUUUGGUCGUGUUAUCACCCCUCCUCCUCCUCCUUGUAAUCGACUCCUGUUUACUUUUCCUGUUCUCCCUCCCUCAAGUUUAUUACCGCUGUUUGGCCAGAGGAAAUGAAUUAACAUAAUUUACUGUUUUAAAAACAAGACACACACACCCUUCUCUGGCACUGUGCUGAGACGCAUGUUUGCGGAGUCUGGGUCCAUUUAGAGAGAACAAUACCCUGAUUAUGGUUUUAAAAGUAGCUACUGCCCUUUUGCGAGGUACAUGUAGCAUGAGCUGUAAAAACCCCAACUGUUGUUGACACUAAACUAGAAGUCAUUGUUCUUGGUGGAAGUUGGUUUUGGGGAGGGACGGUAGGUGGGGAGAGAGAGGGUGGCUUGAGCACAAAUCGUGCCAAGUUAGGCAAAGCUUUGUCAAGAUUUCUAGACGAAUUGUAAAGUGCAAGCAAUGGCUGCUAAAUUGCAGAGUGGAAGCGGCAGAAUGGGAGAAGCGACAAUGAAUUUGCCUCAGACAAUGCUAGGCAGUGGUGGCUGACAGCACACAAUGAAUUUGGCAGUGGACGGGACCAGUCAAUCACCUGGAAACACUCGUCAGGUGACCCAGUGCUUUGAAGCUCCCAUAAUCAGAUGAUUGUAGGGACUUAGGAAGAGUCCUGUUUAGUUCUUUGAAGCAGCAAUGGCCAGCUUGUGGCUGGCCGGGAGGUUGCAGCACAGUUCAGGGACCUUUGAGAGCAUUGCAGCUUCGCCCAACUUGCCACGCCGCCAUUUUCCAGCUCUCUUUUCUGUGCUUCCCGGUCCAUGGGCCCUGCAAAAGCCCACAAGUCCCUAAACUGAGCAUGGCAAAUAUUCAAAGAUUGUGUAGGAGAUUGCUCCAUGUGUAGGGGGAGCAGCGGAGGAAAGGCCAAGGGAGACAAUGCUUCAGAACAAUGCUCAGAAGCACAAAAAGUGUCUUGUGGUACAUGGCUAGGCCUAAUCAUUCCAAUACAGUGGUACCUCCAGUUACGAACUUAAUUUGUUCCGGAGGUCCGUUCAUAACUGGAAACGAUUCUUAACAUGAGGUGCGCUUCCGCUAAUGGCGCCUCCUGCUGCCGCCGCGUCACCGGCUGCGCGACUUCCGCUCGCAUCCCAGGGCAAAGUUAGCAACCGGGAGCAUCUACUUCCGAGGUUAGCGGAGCUUGUAACUCGAAGCGUUCACAAGGAGGACAGUAUGUAACAAGAGGUUCCACUGCAUAUAAUUGUCUCCAAAAGGGAUAGAAACUCAGAUAUAUAAGCUAAGCGCCAAACUGCUCUUUAAACCAGGGUUACAGUUGCCAGAACGGAAUGUCUAGUUGCCAUUUGGGGGCCAGACAGCUCGAAAGUCACAUUUUUCAAGACAACUUCUUGGUUCCUGAAAUGUGUUCAGGUGUGCAGAUAAAAUAUCAGAUAGAAUUCUCCAGAAUGUGGUGUUAGUGUGUGAAAAUAGGCAAGACCCAAGGGUCCUCAGGCAUGCACCUCCAGAUAGCGGAGAUAUCAGGUGCCAUCUAGACACCUGAACAUCUUCACUUAAUCACAAGUGGCCGAUAGCCAGGUGCAAAAUGCACCUGACACCUGGCAAAUUUCAAACAGUGGUCUCCAAAAGGGUUAGCAUGAAAGCAUUUUUUUUUAAUGCCUCUUAGGCACCUGAUGAGAACCUCAAAGGUUUUUGUUGUCACAGCUGCCCAGUUGCCUAUGACAUCCCCCACUGUUGUGCCACUUAAACUGGUUGUAGCUCUCUUUCAGCAACCCAGUAUCCAGCCGCCUGUCUCCUUGCCCUGUAUCCUAUCCCGACAUGUGUCCAUUCAUUGUAGAUUUCUCAAAUCAUGGCCAGUAAUUGCUGAGGUGGCUUUGCUGCAUGCAAAGGAACAAAGCCAGCUCCCCUUGCUUGCAUUUUGCUUAUAGCUUCUUGGAACUGUUUGUGCACAUUCCUCAAUGCGAGAGAAAUGGACUGGGGUGUGCUUGAGGCCCAGAAGUGGUGAGGUGAUGUACAGUUGCUGAGGAAGAUUGCGAGGCUUCUUAAGGGUGGAGGUCAGGUCAGAGGUAGAAGCCCAGUCAACCUUUACUGGAGUCUUUUGAAAUAACAGGGCAGAUUCCUAGUGAGGGUUCCUUCUGUCCUCCUGUCACUUCCCCAUUGACAAAAAGAAGAUUGCCUGCCCCCAGCUGUUCCUUCUGUCACAUUACAAAUGAGAUGUUGAAAGGCAACUCUUGGGCUGCAGAUAGCUUUUCUCUUUCCAUUUCAUUCUGCUUGUCAGCUGCUGCCAAACAGUGCUGUUUUAUAACUAUUUUAUAUCUUUCCUUAGAGCAGGAAAAGUUAAGCUUAUAUGGUGUGCAGUAAGUUGAGCAGGAGUUGUGGAGAAAGAAACCGGAAAGUUGUUUGUGUGGGGAGUAACUAAUAAAAGCUGUUCUCUUUUUGUCUCUUGGAUUCCCCAAAAGUAAAUGUAGCAGUCAUGGCAGAACAGGACCAGAGUCCCUGUGGGUCAGUAAGUAGUACGUAGAACAAUAUUUUUUUUAAAAAAACCCCAACAACACUUCUUGCAAUGGAGAGAAGAAAGUUUUGAAGUUCCCCAAAUAUCUGUAUUUGGUGCUAUUUCAUUUAUUCGUAAAUGAGCUGAAACCAAGAGUGAAAAGUGAGGUAAACGUAAGUUUGCUUAUUGCACCAAAUUUCAGGAUGGCAAAGCCUGAAACAGACUGAAGAUCUGCAAAAGGAUCCAAACUGGGUGAAUUAGCAUUAAAACGGCCAAAAUAAUGGCCCAAAUAACACCUCACUUUACAUGUUAUUUGAGGUAAUGUGUAAAGUGAGGUGCACUGGGGCAAAAAAAAAUCCUUACUUUGCAUAUACGCUGAUAGGGUCUCAAUUAGUGGUGAUGACUAAGUAGGAAAGAGAUCUUGCGACCAAAGAAAAGACCAACUCAAUGUGCAGUAGCUACCCCCCCAAAAAGCACUUUUUCUAGGGAUAAUUUGUGUACGGAUUGAAAAUAUAACACAGUGUAAUAAACCAGCAUGGAUAAUGUACUGCAAAUAAUGUAACUCUCUUGGUGCCUGCAUUUCAAAUACUUCGGGCAAUUCAGAGUAUAGAAGCGGGCAAUCAAAAUGAUUGAACAAUCUGAGCUACUUGCAUGGGAGAAAAUGCUAUAGCAUUUGGAGCUUCAUUCAUUAUUAUUUUUAAAUGAUGAAUGAUGAACCCCCGUGUACACUUACCCAACAAUAAGCACCAAUGAAUACAAAGGAUUACCCUGCAUGGCUGUGAUGCUAUACAUCCUACUUAGGCUGGCUAGAGUGCAAGGCUCCCGCAACUUUGAAAGUUGUGCAGAAGAAAACAUUUUAUCAGGUGUAUUUUGUCUUGUGAAUUAGCCCCACUGAAGGACUAAUUGAUUGGGCGUGAUCAAGAUUUAUAAAAUAGCACAUGAUGCAAAUACAAGCAGUUUCUGGGAAGUUUCCUUCCCUCUUUCAUGACAAGGUAAGUUGCAGCCACCCAUUGGAAUUGUCUGGAAAUAAAUGUAAGCACAUAAUUGAAUGGCGGAAUUCAUUGCUGCAAAAUGGUUUAGGGGGCUUUAAAAGGAGAUGAGACAAAUUUAUUCUAUCAACAGUAGUUAAAUGGGAAUAUUCUUGCUCAGAGCAAUUGUACCUGUGAAUACCACUGGUUGGGUGGAGCAAACAGGAGAGAGCUUUUGUCUUCAUUCUAUGCUUAUGCACUUCCUGAAAGUACCUGGCUGGCUCCAUUGAGAAACAGAACACGGUCCCCCUACAUGGGCAUUUCAGCUAAGCAAGCAAGACUCUUCUUAAGUGUUUUCAAAUAGUGUAAACUUUUGUGAGCUUCUAAACAUAGCAGUUUAGAACAACUAAGAAUCUCGAUGUCUGUAUUCAUUCUUAUAAAUUGAAACAGCUGAAAGUAUGGUAUACAUUGGAAUAGUAAAAAAAAGUGACUCCCACCUUUUAAAAAUCUCUGCCUAUCAUCCAUUUUUGCCAGUUGCUUAUGCCUGUCACUCACAGGUUCCCAAGAGGCAGAAAACAUGAAUGAAUUGAAUCAAGGCUUUGAAAUUGCAUUUAGAAAACCAUUAAACAUACGUUAAAUGUAUGAUAGGAACUUUAUUUGUUCUGUCUUUGUUCUUAUUUGACAAACAAGCUCCCACCCAGAAUUACAACUUUCUAUUGACAGGGUUUAUGUAGCUUUGACAGCUUGAUGACAGGCAGAAAUCAAAAUAAA